UAAAGCAUGCUGAUUUUCUGAGUAGGAGAAUGAACUCCGCACCGCGUGCGGUGGUUUGUUGCACACUUUCAUGAUCGGUAUAUUUCCGGGAGAGUUUCCGCACGGAGAAUCAAUACCGCACCGCUAGCGUGCGGUGAUGUAUCGCACACAUUCAUAGUCGGCGCGGAGAACGUCCGCACAAAGAAUCAAUACCGCACCGCUAGCGUGCGGAGAUGUAUCGCACACAUUCAUAGUCGGCGCGGAGAACGUCCGCACAAAGAAUCAAUACCGCACCGCUAGCGUGCGGAGAUGUAUCGCACACUUUCAUAAUCGACAGGGAGAGCGUCCGCUCGGAGAAUCAAUACCGCACCGCUAGCGUGCGGAAGAAUCAUUUCCAUUUAUCUGGCGGUGCGGUACUCGUUCACUCAGUGUAAAGAUUUGAAUGAAUCAUUCAGUUCUGAUUCAUUUUGCCCUUGUCUAAUUGGAACAAGUCGUGUUUGAUUGUGUGCGUAUGUCGACGGCUAUUUCAGCUGGAGAACUCGUUUUUUCUUUGCACCCAUUUUUUGCCGGUCAGUCUGUCUCAUUCUUACUACCACAUUCGACUUCAUACAAAGUGGCAAAGUUUGACGUUUCGAAUGUUGAUGUUUUUAAUCCCCUUGAUUCUGCGUGAUAAUGUGUAAAAAACUUGUUUUUGUGAAGUGUUUUAAUGAGUUUAGUGUUACUUCGGCGUGCAUAGUUAGUUGAAAUAUGAAAAGUGUUGGAAAACAAAGAGUUGUAGUGAUAUGUAUGCCUGUUUGUACAUCGGCCAAAGAGGUAAACAACAUGUUGCAUCGAGGUAUAAGCUCUUUUUGCAAAUGCAAAAGUAUUAUGCCAUACCUAAAUAUUAUGUAAGAUAUGUGAGAAAAGUGUUUGUAUUUAUGAUUUACACGCGUUGUUCCAUUUCCCUCCCCGCCCAUCCAUUUGUGUACCGAUAAAAUAAUAAUAAGCCGGUCUCAUGGUACAGUCGUCAACUCGCACGACGUAACAACAUGCCCGUCAUGGGUUCAAGUCCUGAAUAGACCGUGCCCCUAUACGUAGGACUGACAAUCCUGCUAUGGUAAUAAAAGUAAGGGUAAUAAAAAAAAGUCACUGAAAGCCAUCCCCACAAGUGGGUACAGGCCAGGCCUUGACCGACAACGAUUGUUGAGCCAAAAAAAAAAAAUAUAAUAAAAAUCGUGGCAUAUUAUUGUGCAUAUAAUGGGUUUUAUGUGCGGCUAGUUAAUUUCGCUGCCGUGAUUAGCAUACCGGACAUGCAGAUCGUGGGGUUGCGGACGCCAAACGAAAUCCGAGGUGCAGCAAUAACCGGGAUCGAACGUGUACAUCUUGGCUGGUCCGUCUUGGCUUUGUGAUGAGCGGGUCGAUUCGAACUUACCGGGUCAGAGUCAUCCGUAAGUGACCAGUAGUCGUUCGGGUCGACCCGAAAGGUACAAGUAGGUAAAGUAGAUCGAAGCACCGGGUCGGAAAUGCGUAUACUUUUACGUACCUACUGAUAAUUCGGGUUGACACAAACUCGCUGCACCCACAAGUCGAAUUUGAUUCCUAAUGUGAUCUAGCAACCCUUACCGCAACCAUGGUUCGGGAUCGAUUCCGUCAGACUCCGGAUCGUGUCGUAAAAUUAAUCGUGUGACCCACCCCAAGUAUAGCUGAACCCACGAGAGCAGUAAGGACAGUUAAUACUUUUGUUAGAAACCCGGUUAUGAAUGCCCGCCUGGCUGGUUGAAUGCGGUCUACAAGAUGAGAGAGCAUUACCAGACUCCUUGUUUCGUAAUCUAGACGCUGAUGGCAAUUAUGAAGAGCAAGCCGUGUUGGCCUCCGUCAGAUGUACUCGAGUCACACCAAAGCCUGAAUAUUCAAGCGAGACCACCAUACAAUGCAUGCAUAAAUUAUAUUAUGGCAUUACAUAAACCAAAGUGGGUAUAGGUGGGCUUAUAGAUUUGGCGGGAACGCCAUUUUGGAGAAAAAUUUGACAGGAGGGGAUUCGAUUGCGAUACGUAUCUAUUCACUCACACUACGAAACACAAAUAGCAAGCUGUGAGUUUGUUUACUUUUGCAAAUGAAACGAUUGCAAAUAUUCCUGAGUUAAAAAUAUCAAAGAACUCCGCUGUGAUCGGGUUAAGUAUCGAAUAUUUCUUUUAAAAAUUGAAAUAGAACCAAAAGAGAUAAGCGGCAACGCAAUAUUAAAUUGUUUUCGUUUGUAUUUCCCAAAUUUUAGCAUUGUUUGUCGAGUCCAUACAGCGCUUUUUUACUGAUCUGGACAAUCUGGUACGGGUAUGAGUCAUGUUGCAGUACAAACAUUAAAAGAUUAUAAUGCUAAUAAGCCUCCUCAGUGCGAACCAUGUAUCUAAAGGUGCUGGAAACGAAAAGUUAUGCUCGUCAAGUAGCCAUGCCAUUCAUAAAUAAGUUUUGCAGCUAAUAGCAUGAUAGAUAUUUUUUUACCAUGAAGGUAUAAAUUUUUUUUCUUUACCAAAUCAUGACCUGCCAUCUCAAUAGAGGACAUGUAAACAAGGAGAAGAAAAAGGACAAAUAUGAAGUCAUUGUAAUCGACGCAAUGGAGGAAAACAAAGAAGUAUACCAUGGACCUAGGACACGGAAGUAAUUUUUAUCCAUCUACUUAAUCAUCGGAAUAUCCUGAAGAGUAAUAAUCCGGAAUAGGAAAGAGAGCGCUGUAAAGCCCCUAUCGGUUAAUUAUAACGUACAUCAAAACACACCGGCAAGAAUAUCUUUAUAUAUGUGCAAAGGUCAUAAUGAACUGUACAUACUAACAUGAUGAACAACAUGAAUAGUAAAACGUGGUUAAUCGUACGAAAUCCCCAUAAAUAACCCUAUGUUGAUCAAGCGUUACAGUAAGUGUUGACAGGUGCCAAUACCUUUAAGAUUGUUGCAAACAUACAUGAACAACUGAAGUUAAAGUGUGAAAGUCAUAAAGUCAUAGCGUGCAGCUCAUAUUUGUUUAAAUUGCCACCAACUGAAAUCCAAAUAUGCUAGAUGAACUGGCAUCCACGAAGGUAGUAAUCAUCCGUCUGCUUUCAAAAACUUUUUAUAGGACCGUGCGUGAAUAGGUUCUUAUUGUAUGUAUUUGUAUUGCAUUUUAAUAUUCAUUUUAAUCUUAACGAUAGUAUAGCCGUAUUAAUGCGCCAGAUUUAAAAAAUGUUUUUACAGUUUAUGAGUGUUUCCCGUUUCAGAAAUGUUAUUCAUGCAACUGCUGGUAAUGUUUAUCACUAUUAGUAAUUGUUUGUAUACGUUUCGUAUUGAUAUAUGUAACAUAUUCGACUAGUACGGUAUUGCAGCAAUAUAAAAUAACAAACUACAUAUCACGCUAAGAGAUUUAGAAAAUUAGAGACGCAAAAAUAGUUGUUUUACACUAUUACUUCCAAGACAUGAAUUACGUCAAUUUUAGCUGAAACAAUCUACUCAAACGUAACACGAUUUUUUACGCACUAGACUACAGGCGGUCCCCGAGAUACACGGUUAAUGGGGACCGAAAACGGCCGCAAAAAACCGCGUAUCUCGAAUUUCCGCGUAAGUCGAAUCUUGUGAUUUCCAGCCAAAAUAUCACUAAUUUUCGUAUAAUUUUGCAAGUAGUGAGAGGUUUUAGCCAUUUAAUUCAUUAUUUGAUAUGAUUCUGACUUAAAAUAACAGCUUGGAACCGUUUGAAAUAUAUUUUAACAUUCGAUCAAAAGGAAGUUCUAUGGAAUGUUAUAUAUGAUGUGUCAAAUCAGUACAAUUUGUUCCAAUAACUGUCAAGUUUAGAAAACCGCGUAUCUCCGAAUCCGCGUAUAAGAGGUACCGUGUAUCUCGGGGACUACCUGUAUACCAUAUUUUCCUAGCUCUAAUUGAAAAUUCGAACGAUUAUUUUUAUGCUGAAUGCAAAGCGAUGAUGAAAAAACACAUAAUAUACAAAUUA